rnacentral:rRNA from 1 species
CCUACGGGAGGCAGCAGUAAGGAAUAUUGGUCAAUGGAGGCAACUCUGAACCAGCCAUGCCGCGUGCAGGAUGACGGCCCUAUGGGUUGUAAACUGCUUUUAUACAAGAGAAAACCCUGGUACGUGUACCAGGUUGAUAGUAUUGUAAGAAUAAGCAUCGGCUAACUUCGUGCCAGCAGCCGCGGUAAGACGAAGGAUGCAAGCGUUAUCCGGAUUCAUUGGGUUUAAAGGGUGCGUAGGCGGACUGAUAAGUCAGUGGUGAAAUCUCUUUGCUUAACAAAGAAACUGCCAUUGAUACUGUCGGUCUAGAGUAUAGAUGACGUUGGCGGAAUAUGACAUGUAGUGGUGAAAUACUUAGAUAUGUCAUAGAACACCGAUUGCGAAGGCAGCUAACGAAACUAUAACUGACGCUGAGGCACGAAAGUGCGGGGAUCAAACAGGAUUAGAUACCCUGGUAGUCCGCACCGUAACGA